rnacentral:rRNA from 1 species
UGGGAAAGGUGCAAUAUUUGCGACAAUGGGCGGAAAGCCUGAUCCAGCCACGCCGCGUGAGGGAUGAAGGCCUUCGGGUUGUAAACCUCUUUUUUUUGGGAAGAAAAAGGGCGGGCCUAUAGGCCAAAGCCCGGGCCGUUCCCUUACCAGAAGCCCCGGU